UGGACUAUCGCCAAGUGGUAAGGCGUAGGACUUUGACUCCUACAUUCGCUGGUUCGAGUCCAGCUAGUCCAG
rnacentral:tRNA from 1 species